rnacentral:rRNA from 1 species
AUGAAGACCUUUCUCAUCUUUUCCCUCCUUGCUAUCGUGGCGACCACUCCAACAACUGCAGUUAGAUUUCCAGUGCCACAAUUGCAGCCGCAAAAUCCAUCUCAGCAACAACCACAAGAGCAAGUUCCGUUGGUGCAACAACUACAAUAUCCAAGGCAACAACAACCAUUUCCACCACAACAGCCAUAUCCGCAGCCGCAACCAUUUCCAUCACAACAACCAUUGCCGCAACGGCAACCAUUUCUGCCACAACUACCAUAUCCGCAGCCACAACCAUUUCCACCACAACAACCAUAUCCACAACCGCAACCACAGUAUCCACAACCACAACAACCAAUUUCACAGCAACAAGCACAAUAAGCACAACAACAACAACAACAACAACAACAACAACAACAACAACAAAUCCUUCAACAAAUUCUGCAACAACAACAACUAAUUCCAUGCAGGGAUGUCGUCUUGCAACAACACAACAUAGCGCAUGCAAGCUCACAAGUAUUGCAACAAAGUAGUUACCAACUGUUGCAACAAUUAUGUUGUCAACGGUUGUGGCAGAUCCCCGAGCAGUCGCGGUGCCAAGCCAUCCACAAUGUUGUUCAUGCUAUUAUUCUGCAACAACAACAACAACAACAACAACAACAACAACCGUCGAGCCAGGUCUCCUACCAGCAGCCUCAGCAACAAUAUCCAUCGGGCCAGGGCUCCUUCCAGCCAUCUCAGCAGAACCCAUAGGCCUAGGGCUCUGUCCAGUCUCAACAACUUCCCCAGUUCGAGGAAAUAAGGAACCUAGCGCUGCAGACGCUACCGGCAAUGUGCAAUGUCUACAUCCCUCCAUAUUGCUCGACCACCAUUGCGCCAUCUGGCAUCUUCGGUACUAACUGA